rnacentral:lncRNA from 1 species
UGUCUUGUCUAAUGAAAGACUUGCUAACAUCAAAAAGAAUCACUAGAGAAAUCAAGCCAAACGCAUCCUAGGGAAAGAAAAGAAAUCUACCUUCAUAAGCAAACAGUCAAACCACCCACCUUGUCUGAAAAAAAGACUGGAAAAUCCCUUCAAACAAGUUCUAAUCCCUGACUGACAGAUGAUAUUGGGUUCCU